rnacentral:misc_RNA from 1 species
AAAGUCGUAACAAGGUUUCCGUAGGUGAACCUGCGGAAGGAUCAUCACUGAUUCUCCGGGGAUGAGUGAUGUGUGGGUGGUGCUUUGCUCCGCCCCACAUCUCCGCCCCAAACCAAUCUUGUGUGCACCGUUUUUCUCACCGAUCAAGGGGAGCAAUAAUGCGCGUGUGACAUGUGUGUGUUGUGUGUUGGCAAGGGAGGUUACUCUUUUGCCAACCGCAUGCACCCUGUCGCGCGUGCUGCUUUCUCUCUCUUUAUUUAAAAUCUCGAUGAAACCUUGUCUAACACGUUACCUAAAUUUUUAACAUAUACAACUUUUAACAAUGGAUCUCUUGGCUCUC